AUGAAUUGGUCAUGACUUAAUUCCUAUCAUUCUUGUUAAAGCCAAGUUUUGAACAAGUUACUCUUAUUAGUGUAUGGCUUUCCAAAUUUUGGUGGGCUUUUAAUUUUGUCCUUUCAAUCCUCUCUACAAUCCAAGACUGAAAGCCUUUAACUCCAACAGGAUCUAUCAUUAGAGCCAGACCCCUAGUCCAUCUUCCUCUUCAAAGCAACCUGGAGGCAGCUUGUCAAGGUAAACUCUUCUACCUGCACCCCAUAUGCCAUUCUUUUAUGGAGAAGAUGAACUAAGAAGUAGAUCCUGAAAGUCCUUGCAGAGUGAAAAAAGUUUUGCACAAAUUAACUCCACUGUUUUCUGCUAUAAGACCUCCUCAGAAUUCCUGGACAGAGAGAAAUUGUGCAUCAGCCUCUCGCAUUAGGCCCUAAAAGCACUCUGCUUUGAAUUGCCAUGAGCAACGACCAAAGUCAUUGCUGUGUUUUGGUCACCCCACAUUGAGUGACUGCAGAAAAGAAUUACUUCAGAAUGUAUACAUACAAAGAUUUUGCAGUUGUUUUGAUGAGGAGAAGAUGCUGCUCUGAGAAGCUUAGUUAGUUUAUAUAGGCAAGGAAGAGAAAAUGUAUCUGGUUUUUAAUAAGUUGCCAUUUAUCAGAAGAUUUCUUCAGGAUUGCCUGACAAACUAGAGGAUUUUUUCAUUAUGGCAUAAUCUAAAUGGCAGAUACUCAUUUAAGUUUUUUA